UGCAGUCGAACGGCAGCACGGGUGCUUGCACCUGGUGGCGAGUGGCGAACGGGUGAGUAAUAUAUCGGAACGUGCCCUAGAGUGGGGGAUAACGUAGCGAAAGUUACGCUAAUACCGCAUACGAUCUACGGAUGAAAGUGGGGGAUCGCAAGACCUCAUGCUCGUGGAGCGGCCGAUAUCUGAUUAGCUAGUUGGUGGGGUAAAAGCCUACCAAGGCGACGAUCAGUAGCUGGUCUGAGAGGACGACCAGCCACACUGGGACUGAGACACGGCCCAGACUCCUACGGGAGGCAGCAGUGGGGAAUUUUGGACAAUGGGGGAAACCCUGAUCCAGCAAUGCCGCGUGUGUGAAGAAGGCCUUCGGGUUGUAAAGCACUUUUGUCAGGAACGAAACGGUGGGGGCUAAUACCUCCUGCUAAUGACGGUACCUGAAGAAUAAGCACCGGCUAACUACGUGCCAGCAGCCGCGGUAAUACGUAGGGUGCGAGCGUUAAUCGGAAUUACUGGGCGUAAAGCGUGCGCAGGCGGUUGUGCAAGACAGAUGUGAAAUCCCCGGGCUUAACCUGGGAAUUGCAUUUGUGACUGCACGGCUAGAGUGUGUCAGAGGGGGGUAGAAUUCCACGUGUAGCAGUGAAAUGCGUAGAUAUGUGGAGGAAUACCGAUGGCGAAGGCAGCCCCCUGGGAUAACACUGACGCUCAUGCACGAAAGCGUGGGGAGCAAACAGGAUUAGAUACCCUGGUAGUCCACGCCCUAAACGAUGUCUACUAGUUGUCGGGUCUUAAUUGACUUGGUAACGCAGCUAACGCGUGAAGUAGACCGCCUGGGGAGUACGGUCGCAAGAUUAAAACUCAAAGGAAUUGACGGGGACCCGCACAAGCGGUGGAUGAUGUGGAUUAAUUCGAUGUCACGCGAAAAACCUUACCUACCCUUGACAUGUACG
rnacentral:rRNA from 1 species